GAUGAACGCUGGCGGCGUGCCUAAUACAUGCAAGUCGAGCGAACGGACGGGAAGCUUGCCUCUCUGAUGUUAGCGGCGGACGGGUGAGUAACACGUGGAUAACCUACCUAUAAGACUGGGAUAACUUCGGGAAACCGGAGCUAAUACCGGAUAAUAUUUUGAACCGCAUGGUUCAAAAGUGAAAGACGGUCUUGCUGUCACUUAUAGAUGGAUCCGCGCUGCAUUAGCUAGUUGGUAAGGUAACGGCUUACCAAGGCAACGAUGCAUAGCCGACCUGAGAGGGGGAUCGGCCACCAUGGAACUGAGACACGGUCCCGACUCCUACGGGAGGCAGCAGUAGGGAAUCUUCCGCAAUGGGCGAAAGCCUGACGGAGCAACGCCGCGUGAGUGAUGAAGGUCUUCGGAUCGUAAAACUCUGUUAUUAGGGAAGAACAUAUGUGUAAGUAACUGUGCACAUCUUGACGGUACCUAAUCAGAAAGCCACGGCUAACUACGUG
rnacentral:rRNA from 1 species